rnacentral:misc_RNA from 1 species
CUCCCCUCGAGCGCGGCUUCACAGCCGACGCCCGGUGUUGGGGCGCUACGGAGGAGCCUCGCGCUCCCCCGUAGGCCCCGAAAUGUAGUGGCGGUCCCGCCGCGGCGCCCCCUGCGUAGUAGUUUUACAACUCGCAUCGGGUCCCGGUGGAGGCCAGCCGUCAAACCCCCAACUUUACA